rnacentral:rRNA from 1 species
AGAGUUUGAUCAUGGCUCAGGAUGAACGCUGGCGGCGUGCCUAACACAUGCAAGUCGAGCGUGAACUCUCGGAACGAAACUUCGGUCUAGGGAAGAGGGGGAAAGCGGCGGACGGGUGAGUAACGCGUAGGUAACCUGCCCCAUACAUAGGGAUAGCCUAGGGAAACCUGGAUUAAUACCUAAUAAUGCGAAGAGAUCACAUGGUCACUUCGCCAAAGAUUCAUCGGUAUGGGAUGGACCUGCGUCUGAUUAGCUAGUUGGUGGGGUAACGGCCUACCAAGGCAACGAUCAGUAGCCGACCUGAGAGGGUAAUCGGCCACAUUGGAACUGAGACACGGUCCAAACUCCUACGGGAGGCAGCAGUGGGGAAUAUUGCACAAUGGGCGAAAGCCUGAUGCAGCAACGCCGCGUGAGUGAAGAAGGUCUUCGGAUCGUAAAACUCUGUCCUUAGGGAAGAAACAAAUGACGGUACCUAAGGAGGAAGCCCCGGCUAACUACGUGCCAGCAGCCGCGGUAAUACGUAGGGGGCAAGCGUUAUCCGGAAUUAUUGGGCGUAAAGAGUACGUAGGUGGUUUUGUAAGCGCAGGGUGAAAGGCCGAGGCUCAACUUCGGUUAGCCUUGCGAACUGCAAGACUUGAGUGCAGGAGAGGAAAGUGGAAUUCCUAGUGUAGCGGUGAAAUGCGUAGAUAUUAGGAGGAACAUCAGUGGCGAAGGCGACUUUCUGGACUGUAACUGACACUGAGGUACGAAAGCGUGGGGAGCAAACAGGAUUAGAUACCCUGGUAGUCC